GUCUCUGGGCAGUAACUGACGCUGAGGAGCGAAAGCGUGGGGAGCGAACAGGAUUAGAUACCCUGGUAGUCCACGCCGUAAACGGUGGGUACUAGGUGUGGGUUUCCUUCCUUGGGAUCCGUGCCGUAGCUAACGCAUUAAGUACCCCGCCUGGGGAGUACGGCCGCAAGGCUAAAACUCAAAGAAAUUGACGGGGGCCCGCACAAGCGGCGGAGCAUGUGGAUUAAUUCGAUGCAACGCGAAGAACCUUACCUGGGUUUGACAUGCACAGGACGCCGGCAGAGAUGUCGGUUCCCUUGUGGCCUGUGUGCAGGUGGUGCAUGGCUGUCGUCAGCUCGUGUCGUGAGAUGUUGGGUUAAGUCCCGCAACGAGCGCAACCCUUGUCUCAUGUUGCCAGCACGUUAUGGUGGGGACUCGUGAGAGACUGCCGGGGUCAACUCGGAGGAAGGUGGGGAUGACGUCAAGUCAUCAUGCCCCUUAUGUCCAGGGCUUCACACAUGCUACAAUGGCCGGUACAAAGGGCUGCGAUGCCGUGAGGUGGAGCGAAUCCUUUCAAAGCCGGUCUCAGUUCGGAUCGGGGUCUGCAACUCGACCCCGUGAAGUCGGAGUCGCUAGUAAUCGCAGAUCAGCAACGCUGCGGUGAAUACGUUCCCGGGCCUUGUACACACCGCCCGUCACGUCAUGAAAGUCGGUAACACCCGAAGCCGGUGGCCUAACCCCUUGUGGGAGGGAGCCGUCGAAGGUGGGAUCGGCG
rnacentral:rRNA from 1 species